AACCUGAAUUGAAUAUUCAGAAGAAAAUGAAUGGAUAGACUGACAUUUGUUUAAAUACUUCUAGAAAUCUGAGCUGUUGGUGUGUCCUUGGAUUGUGUGGUAAUAAUAUUAGAGCUGGCAAUCUUUCUUACUGAAUCUCUACUAUGAGUCAUGUUACCUGAGAUUAAUUCUAUGUUUACCUGACAGCCUGGACAAAUGUGCUGUGUGAAGGAUGUAAAUCAAAUCAGAUCUUAACUGCUUACAUUUAAGGAGCCUGGUCAUAUUUAAUUGUAAUAUGAACCAAUGAUUUUCUGAUUGCUGAUUCUAAGAGAGUCUUUGUGGAAAUCCUGUUUGGCUUUUUGUCAUUUUAAUUCUCUUUUCCGUUUGCCAGAACAGUUCUCCACAGUCGCUGUCUACAUGGGUCAGUGGGACCAAGAAGCACUCUGCUAAUGUGGGACUCUGACCAGCAACAUCCAGCAAGACCCAGGUAGCGUUUUCUAUCUCCCAGCUGGAGUUUUUUGUUUGUGACGGGAGAGUCAGAUUUUUGUUGAGGCUGGAGGAACAGCCUCACACUUGCAGAGGUUAAUACACGCUACUGAUCCCUGAUGGGAGAAUCAUCACCUCUGCCAACAAAGAAGCCUGGUGGAUGUUUGUUUACAGUCUGAUGAUGGGACACCAUGCUCUGCAUCUUCAAAGUUUGUCUCUUGCUUAUUAUUCAUACACAGUAAUGUGAAGUAUGCUUAUAUCUAGUAUAACUGGACCGACCUGGUGCUCUUCAUUUAUGGAGGCUGUUGAGUCUGAAUGUUGGAUGUUGUGUAUCUCGUGUUCUCUGGGCUUUGUUGUCCUCAGUCUUUUUGCAGGCUCAGAAAACAAAACCAGGAGACCUGUAAAUGUUUCUUCUCCAAUUGGAUGAUGAUAAGACUGUGACAUGGGAUGCCACCUUUAGUCUUGUGAUGAAGCAAAGCUCAGGAAGAAGUGUGAUUAAAUGGUACCCACAUGUGUGCUGCUGAGAAGGAUGUACAGGGGCACCUGCAGCCAAAUCCAAGCCUCAGCAACUUCAAGUCUGUCAGCGUGCUGAGGUCACAGAAACAAGAAAAGCAGCUUCAGACUUCAGAGUGUUGUUUACAGUUUUCUGUCAUCAUGAGCUCCCCUGAAGUUUAUCACUAUUAGGCAAGCAUUUGUGCUCACAGAUGGUGACGGUGUGGAGAGACGGUGGUGUUUCCUCAGAGGAACUAGCAGAGUCACAAAGGGCACCAGUCCAUCUCACCACCUUGACUUGCUGACUGAUGCUCGUCUGCACUGCACAGAGGAAAUCAACUGACCGAGGAGUGUUUCUGAGUGAGGGAGAGAGGAGUCAUCAUCCAGAUGGGCAGGAUAUCAGUCUUGGACUGUCUAACCUGCCGGAGCAGCACUGAAUGAUCACCACACAUGAGCAUGUUCCUGCAACAUUCAGCAUCUGAUCCUUGUUCAUCUGUGUGCUUCUGCUUUUGUGUCAAAUGUCAACCAGCUGGAGAGGAAACUACACCAGUGUACUGGGAUGUUUCAGCAACACGUGCCAGAUGCUGUUCCUUCAUGGUGACAUCACCAGAGACAGCCCCGCCCACCUCAGGACCUCGCCAUUGAUCAUGAUGAUUAUAAUGAUGACAGCGAGCGGAACUAAGACUGUAAAAAUCCACGACCAGAAUGUUUAGAUGCUUUCUAAUUAUUCAUGAAUACUGAGAGCCUCUUUCUGUGUUUUGUCUGGUUUGGUUUUUUACCUCAUUUGUUACUAACAAAGUUCACCAAACUCACUCAGUUUACAUUCUGUAUGUUUCCAUCUUUACCAGCCACACUCUAACUGCAUUUAAGAAAAUAAUCCUUAGAAAUUGUCGUUUUUCUCUUUUGUAAUUGAUGAUAAUUCAGUGAAUAUACUGCGCUGCUUCCUUUUAUUUCGUCUCACAUUGCUUUAAGUUUUUCAGUGUCCAGUUAUUUUUUACUGCUGUUUGAAUUCUCUGUAUGUUUGACCUGUAGACUGUCUG